rnacentral:lncRNA from 1 species
GAUUUUCCAACGCAUCGAUCAACAGAAUUCAUUGAAGAAAAGGAGCACGCCUGAAGCAAGCGCGCGCGUGCUUAUAAUUAGUUUAUAUGUAAUUCGGCAAAUCUGAGCCUAUAAAAGGCCCACCCAAGUACUCACCUAGCAUCGAUCGCACAUCCAGCUUGCCAACAUACACAACACACUAGCAUUAUUAUCGCAAUACUGUAGCUUUUUCCCCAUUGUUCGUGGUCCAAUUCGCUUUUUCCAACGAGCAACUCUUGGGAAAAUCCUGCAAGCUUGUGUCAUACUCCAUAACAUGGCAGUUCAGGAUGAGAAAGACAUGGCAAGUACUUGUUCUGAACCAGAUGAAGCUUCAGGUAUAACGGCUGUUUUACCAUCAAACAUCAAAACUGGGCCUGCCCAUUGCUUAACUAAUGUACUCCAGAGAAGUGCCCCUGUUUGUAGUCAAGCAACACAUGGCCAGCUAACAAGGGAUUUAACUGAGCAUAUCUGGCAGCAGUUUGGGCCAUUUGGCGACAAGUAAAAAAGAUCUAGUAUUAGUGUACGAAGUCAUGUCGCUUGGUGGGUCACUAGUACGUAUCUUGUCCUAGUUAUCUAUUUAAAAUUCAUGUUGUUUAACUUCAUUUGUAAGUAGCUAAGCUAUGUUGAAUUUUUGCAUUUGCAUCUUGAAAAGGAUUAGGUUUGGAAAUUAAUUCAAACUGGACCUUGAAACUGGAUAAAUUUAAAUAACUUUAAUGCUGAUCAUUCUUCAAGGUUUGCUUUCAAGCAAAUCAGGUCAAAUUGUUCUGUCAGGUGUGCUCGAUCUCUAAUUUGAGUAUUAGUGCCCCUUCUCGGAUGUAGAGAAACACAUUCAACCAAAGCACACUAGCUUAUGUUGAUAUCUUUGAUGCUUCCAACUGGGGAAAAGGAAGAUACAUGUUUAUAUAUUAUUAUUAUCUCCUGCAGUGCUGGUUAUCCAUCAAUUUUUUUGACAUCUAUGUGCUGCAUCAUAUAUAAGACAGAAAAGGCUAGAUUACUUCUUCAGUAACAAUAAUAAUCUUUUAAAAAGUGUAGCCUUUCACUAGUCUUUCAUGUGCUGUUAUGAAAAUUAUCAAAUUGUGCAAGAGAGCAUUACGUUGCUUGUAUUAAGAUCGUUGUUAUUGCCAUUGUCUUGUGCAGGCUAUAAUUAGCUGUAUAAACAGCUUUUUUUGGGGGAAAAAAAGGCUGAUUGGCAGGAUAUAAUCGUAGAGAGACUUUUGAAUUGUGAGGUACCAUUACGAGCUCAAUAUAUACGAGUGUUAUUCUGUUCGUUGAAAUUGUUCGUUUGGAAAUUUCCCAAAAAGCUAAUUAUACAAUAGGGCCGUUAUGCUUAUUACUAAACUUGUUGAAGAGAUGAAAUAGAACCAAGGUCUAUCUUUUUGACUUCAAUCGGAACUUCUCUUGACCCAACGACGCGUUGAUCUAGUUUCCAUCGGAGCCACAAGGAACUGUUUAAACUGAUUCGUUUCUGUCUAUAAGCUCCCAGUGCAUCAUAGGAACUAGAAGUGGGAGAGAGGGGAUGUGAUGAUUGAGGUUUUGAAUAAGACGGAUUUUUGUGAGAGAACCAAAUCCAAAUUGGUGAAGAUCAUGAUUUGGGCUGGCAUAGUAGUUAUUACCUUUGCAAUUGCGGUUCGAAUCUAUCCUAUCUUUAUCUUUUUGCUCAAAGAACGAAUAAAACCCCUUGUUGAAGCCCUUUAUGAUAAGCUUCCCUGGAUCUGGGAAGUUUCUCUUUCACGGUAUUGGGUUGUAGGUUUUUUUUCUACCAAUGGGGACUUUCCCUGCACCGCCCCCAUGGGGGUGCUCCACAGGUUCAUAACUACCCCUCUUACUACGAGGCGUUUACCUAGCCCUUGGGGUGCGUAUUGUUUGUUGACCAUAACUAAUGAACCCAGUUAUCAUAGGGAACAUAUACUUUGUAUCGACUAAAAUAUAUACUUCGACUUUCAUGUGCUAGAACUUUAGCUCGUAAACAUAAAAGUAGGGUACGAACUGUUAUGCAACGAUUGGGUUCGGUAUUUUUAGAAGAAUUUUUGAGACGUGGCAUCUGACUGAACUAUCAAUUCUGCCACUGGAAAUUGGGUGGAAAAAACAAAUGUCUUAUUUUUUCUGUAAGAGAUAGCGUUAUUCUUCAAAGGAAUCUUCAAUCUGCACAAGGAACUCUGUACCCUUCCUGUAGUCUAUUCUAUAAAGAUUUCACUAAACCAUCAUGCUUCUGAAGUAAAGGAUCCUCUUCUUCUCCUAGCUGUUUAGCCUGCCAUACCUGAGUUAUCUGGUACAACUGAACAUUGGGAUAAGGCUGAAGGGUACAGGUCUGAUUUUGUUCUCUUCUAGCUAGACACCAAAAUUAUGCAUGAUAUUUUGUUAGAACUUGUAGUGGUAUCUAGCCCCUGUGGUCACAUAUUUUGUUGAGGUCUGAUUUUGGUUCUCUUCUGGCUUGUAUCACACGAAAGAUGCUGUAUUCGUACAUCUCGUCCAAGGGCAGAAUUACACACGGCUCAUUUCACGGUAGAUGGCCCAUGGAGCAGGGCUUGCUUACAACAUGCACACAUUCAGACACCUGUAAGUUUUAAUUCCAAUGAGCUUAUCAAUGCGGAUUUGAAGCAAUAUUGGUUGCUGGCAUCAAGGAAAUGCGUUCCACUACCACUACGUGCUAAGUUAGCCCAGAAAUCAAGAAUGGACCAAAAUAUUGAUUAGCUUGGCUAACCUUUUGUCAACACUUGAGAUUUUGCAUUUUGGCUCCAGCUAUAGGUGUCCGAUCGAGCAGGCCGGCAUAGCUGGCUACCUCGUGUUUCAUUUUUAUUGUGACGAUUAUUGCCAAUCUUGUUGCAAAGGAACGGAUGGAGUAUUUGCUAAACUAUGUAUACUAUUGCUAGGCAUAAUUGCAAUUGCAACUCGAGGCACAUGGGAUGGGACUCGAAGAGUGGACUUUGAUAUAUAACCUAUAAAAGGAGCACGCCUGAAGCAAGCAAGCGCGUGCUUAUAAUUAGUUUAUAUGUAAUUUGGCAAAUCUGAGCCUAUAAAAGGCCCACCCACGUACUCACCUAGCAUCGAUCGCACAUCCAGCUUGCCAACAUACACAACACACUAGCAUUAUUAUCGCCAUACGUACAGUAGCAACACACGUACAAAAUUCAAAGAUGGCCAAGCCCUGGAAGCAGCAGGCCCUGAUUCUGGUGGCGGCGCUGCUCCUGGGGCUCUCGCUGCCAGUGCCAGGCAGCGCAGCCCCGCUGGAGGAAGCUUGUUCCAGGGGUCUUGAGCAGGUUGAUUUCAUCACCAAGGGCCCAUCAUGUACCAAACCCGUAUUGAAUCGCUUCGGUUUAAUUGAUGGCACCUCUGAGGAAGAUGUUGGAAAGUGCUGUGACAUGCUACUAGGUGUCAUUGUUCUAUCCAGCGGAAAGCAAGACUGCGCUUGCAGUCUUCUGAAGGCAUUUGCGCAGGAGAAGAUCGACGUCGCUAGAGUAUGCAAGCAGCUUCGUAUGACCAAAGAAAAGUGCCAGGCUAAGGAGGAUGCCGAGAAGGCAAAGGCGGAUACUUCCUUCCUUUCCUUUUUUUUAUAAUUGCUUCCUUGUUUAAUUUAUUUGCGGUUUCAAAUGGUGUGGUGUUUGUUUGUUGGACUAUUCAGCUUGCUAGUUUGAGUUGAUUAUUAUUGUUUUUUGUAACUUGCAUUGUUAUGAACCCGGGCCCCUCUAUGAUAUAAAUUUGAUUGUUUCACUCCACCAGUUUGUUUUACUACUCGUGGUAAUUGCAUGUUCGAUCCUGCUCAUGCUAAGAUGGAUAAGAUGUGCAUUAAGAAUAGAAAUUCUCAUUCAAAUCGCCGGAAAAGAACAAUACAUAUUGGGAAAUUAUUCAAACCGGAACAAUGAAAAACGUCAUUGGUUGGUUGGCAAGGGAAAUUGUGUUAAAAAUGCAGAGUGCAAGACAAACAAUCAUGUCAUUUAAAAACGGACACUCGCCAAAAUAGAAUGUAACUAAAAACAGAUGGUUUUUCUUGCUAAAAUUUCUGAGUUUUCUUGCAAAAAAGAUUAUCAUAUGAGGAAACACUUAUAUAUACAUGUGACCACGAUGCUUGAUCGAUCUUACUAAAAUCAAUGAGCUCGCAUCACAUUACGGUAAGGGAAAGGAAUCUGUACUCGGGAAAUGAACUAGUGAGUACAGUUCACCAACUCAAGAGUUUGGCAUGUACAUAGUUUAUUCUGGCAAAUGGAGAAGGCCUCCAAGCUAAGGGGAAAAGGAACAAAUAUUCAGAAAGUAUAGGUUGUAUCAUUACAUCAGCAUCAAUCUGCUUGAUAUAGCCCAUAAAAAAUCUAUCAACGGGUAUGAAAAAGGUAGAUGUUCUAUAUUUUCGUAUAUCUUAUACAAGUACGUACAUCUUUUUUCACAUGUUAUCAUCAAUUGUCAUAAUUGAAUUUUUGUUGCGUAAAGUCAAAGAAGUAUCUCAUAUCAGUAUCCUUAAGAGGAAUCUCCCAUUCCCCCAUAGUCCACUUGGGCUACGCGGCCUAGAAAGAAAGAGGCCGGCGAUACCUUGGGCCGAAACCGAACCGCGCUGACACCGAGCUGGGCUUGGCACUGCUCGCUUAUUUUUUCACUCACCUCAUCCCCGUGGGCCAUCUUGCGCUCCUGCCUCGCCGCACGUCGGCCGGUCGCCGUCCCCAGCGGCCCAUAACGCCGUCCGCCGGAGCAUCCUGCUUCUCGUCCCGUGAGUCCGUGACCAGACAUAGCAUUGCGCCGAUGCCACCUGUACUGGUGAUGGGGCUAAACCCUAACUAGCCUCUCGGCUUGUGCGACUAUGCGUCCUCCGCUGCCAGCCGCUCCUCUUCCUCUCCAGCCACCGUCGCUCUCGGCUCGCCGCGCUUCUCCGUAAUCCAGUCGGCGCUAGUGCUUGAAGUCAGUGAAAGGGUGAUCCAGCCGGGACCGGCCAUUUUGCAUUUGACUUCUAGUCCUUGAUGGGCGGUGAAGCCGGUAACCAUUUUUUCUACAUUUAAUUCUCGUGGGAUUAUGUCUGGUCCAAUUCCACUUUCCGCCUAUUUUGCUUCAGAUUUCGAUUAGUUGUAUUAGUUAUUGUAGUGUCCAUUAGCUGAACAUUACUGUCACAGCUACAGUAGCUGAUGAAUUAGAUUAGACACACUAUUGGGAUCAUUUCGAGAAUGAUGGGGUUGUAUUAAGGUUAUACUAGUAUACUAAUGGUAGCAUAGCAUCCGUAAAGCGCAUAGAGUGUAUCUAGAAAAUUUGGAAGUAUAAUCCAUAUUCUACAGAAUAAGGGCCCAUCACCCAUGCAAACAUGGAUGGUGGAUUAAGUUCAGGGGCAGUGUGUUCUUUAUAAUGUUGGCUAUUAUCACCCAUGCAAGCAUGGAUGGUGGAUUAAGUUCAGGGGCAGUGUGAUCUUUAUAAUGUUGGCUAUUGCACAGUUGUUGAUUAUCCUUUCUUUUCAAUACUCAACUAGUUCGAAUACAAUUGCUUGGAGACGGCGACGGGGCGGCUCUCCCCCCUUCGGGUCCAGGCAGACACGGAUGCCCGGUCAAUAGAGAGGACGGCCAUGGCGGCGCAGGCGUGGGCGGCCGGAUCCGGCACUGGCAGGUGUGGAUCCGGUGGUCCCGAGGGUGGAUCCGUUGAAGACUGGGGCGGCAGCCGGCGACAGCCCACCGACGAGGAGGAGGGUGACCACGCCCGGGAUGCCAAGAACGACGCCUCACCGGCGGCGCCGGAGGGGAGCGGGCGGCGGAGCGAGAAGGGAGGGUGGCGUGGGCAGCCGAGGGUGUUGCGGGGAUAGGCCUGGGGGGGCCGGCGUGCUAGGCGGUAGUUCUGCCUCGCUGCCCAGCGGGGGGACCAACGGACCCAGGCGGCGGCGGUUUGCGGCCAUCUAUCAAUGAGCGGCAGCUCACUGCGAACGUCUUCCUCGCGCGCAUCGCCAACAAGCUCAUCCUCUAGGCGCACCCUAGCUGCCGGUGGACUCUCGGUGGGUGGCGGUCGUGCGCGGAUGAAGGCUGGGCAGCCAGCGUGGGCAAUGGAGGAGCGUCGACCGGGAGAGAAGCGUGGCGGUUGGGAGAAGCGCGGCGGCUGGGAGGAGCGCGGUCGGGAAGUGCGCGCAGCCAGGAAGAGCUCAUGCCGCCGCUGGGAGGAGCACGCGGUCGGGAGGAGCGCGCGGCCGAGAGGAGCGUGGUCGAGAGAGAGCGCGUGGUGGUGGGAAGGAGUACGGUGGCCGGAAGGAGCACGGCAAGUGGCCGCAUGGCGUUGGCAGGGAGGUGCAGGUGGUGGAGGAUGCUACGCGUGGGCAGGGAUGGAGGGUGGCGACAAAAAUGGAGGUGAAGGUAUGACGGCAUGGUGAGUGGAGGCGCGGCGGCGGCGGCACCUCGGCUGGGUUACCGUAGUAGUAGUCUGAGAGUGCCAAACCAUAUACGUGCAGCGAGGGGUUGUAUUGCUCCGGGCGGAAGCCCUCACCGGCCUUCAUACUAGUGGACAUGAUGGCGGCAUCCUAGGACGUCGUCUUCCCCGUUGGGGGUGUCAGGUUGGAACUACGACCCUGCUGCACGGGGUUCUCUGGGUGAAAACCCUAUCCAGAUUCUGGAUGAGCGAUGGCUGCUCCAUUGGUGUUGUGCCCUCCUUGGAGGCAUCGUCUCUAAAUAUCCAACUUGGUUCAUGGCAUUGCUAAACCAUUGUCAUGGGAGGUCAUAGCCGAGGGUGGCAACUCCAUUGCGUGGUGAGCUGAAUGGGUGUUGCCGAGCCCAUGUGCAGGCAUUCGAAGUUAUGGUGGCGGCUAGGAGUUAUUGCAUGGUUGUCGUUUGGCUGCUUGCAGCGGACCGCGGCUGCUGACGUUGCUUGGCAGCGAUUAGUCCGAUGUGGGACUGCGUCGGAGGACGGCUCUUGCGGCAACGGCAGCGUGGAACGACUAGGCUUGCAGCGGACCGCAGCGGGUUGCUUAGCUUAGUUGGGCUAUCCGGUGCGGUACAUCGUCGGAAAAUGGCGCAAGCGACUUCUUUGGCUUGCUGACACGGCGGAGAAGGCUAUGUACGAGGGUGAAGCUACGAGGCGCGGUCGACACACUGCGGCAGCUUGGCUGAUCAAUGAAGAUCUUGGGGAGCGGGGCAAUAUCACUGAACACUCUGACAGCGACAAAAGAAACGGAUCCGUGACGUGGAGUACUGCGGCAGGCGUCCAACGGCGGAUGUGGCGAGGCCCCCACGCGUUGUGUUAUCGUGCCGGCGACUGCGAGGCAGCCUGCGAGAGGUCCGGAUUCGGUGCUAUCACCCUGUCAGGUGGAGAGUGAUGUUACAACGGCACUACGGCGGAAGGUCCUGCAUGGUGGUGGCUUUCUCGGUGCGGUGCAGUCUGCUUCUUGAUUCAACGUCGACGCUAGGUUACGCUGGAAGGUUUUGGUGACUUCUAGACCGUGUGUAUGGUGGUACGGGCUGUGGUAAGGCUUCAUUUCUGUUGCUGAGAUGUUGAGAGGAGUGGAGUUCGCCGACGGUUGAUGUCCCAAUCCAAUCGGCUGAUGUAUUGUAGAGUUGAGUUGCGUGUGAGAGCGUGCUGCGGCAUGCGUUGAGGACCUAAUCUAACAUGUCGGUGUUUGCAUCGUUUUUUCCGUUUUUUUCUUUUUCAUGUUGUCGUCCAGUCUGGAUUUCAUCUUCUUUAUUAAUAUAAUCGGCAGCUUCCCUGCCUAGUUCGUUUCAAAAUAAUGGCUCCAACUACACAGCGAACAGCACCUACCAAUCCAACCUAAAGCUUCUCUCCACCACACUCCCCGACAAGGCCUCCUCGUCUCCCUCCCAUCUCUUCGCCACAGACACCGCUGGCAGUGUCCCGGAAGCCGUCUACGCCCUCACACUCUGCCAUGGUGACACCAACGCCUCAGCCUGCGCUGUGUGCGUCGCCAACGCCUUCAAGGAUGCGCAGCAGGUCUGCGCGUUCAAGAAGGACGUGACCUGUGACCAUCUACUACGACCCCUGCUACCUCCGCUUCUCCGACCAGAACUUCCUGAAUCCUGACCUCCAUAGACAACAACCAGUACAUAAAUGCCAACGGGGAGAACGUGACCUCACCUGCGGUGGCGUUUGACACCGCCGUGGGUGUUCUACUCAACGCCUUCGUGGAUUACGCGGUAAACUCUUCGUCACGGUUAGGCACCGGAGUGGAGGAUUUCGAUAAGAGCAACCCCAACAUCUAUGCGCUGGCGCAGUGCACGCCGGACUUGUCGCCCGACGACUGCCGUGCCUGCCUCGAUCAGAUACUGAACGUGCAGAUGAAGUUUUUUAGCGGCAGGCAGGGAGAGAGGAUUCUGGGAUUGCGAUGCAACUACCGGUUUGAACUCUAUCCCCUCUUCUCCGGCAGGCCCCUUCUGCACCUCCCAGCCCCAGCCCCGGGCCCGGCUGUCACACCAUCCGUCGACGAAGGUGAGUUCCAAUUCCAAGAUUUUUACUGAAGAAAAGGAAGGAUUUGAAGUUUAAGAAGUAGAUUUUUUUUCCAAUUUACUCCAGUUGUUGCAGACUGCAGCAAACACGUACUCCCUCCGUCCCAAAUUACUAUUCAUUACGACUCUAGAUUCGUAGCUUUUGCUAUGCACCUAGAUAUAUGCUAUGGUCCUGUUUGGCAAGGGGUGUUAAAGUUUAACACCUCACUUUUAAUACUUUUUAACACUUUCCUAUCUAAACACUUGUGUUAAAAGUGGGGUGUUAAAGUUUAACACCCCAUUUUUCAUAAACACAUGGAGGGGGUGUUAAAACUUGCUAAAGUUGUUAAAAGUGGUCCCCAUCUCCACUUUUUCCCAGGUUACCCCUUCUCUCUCCUCCCUCUCUCUCCGCCGGCCAUAAAUGAGGGGGCAAUGGAGUCAUUUCCCACCAAAGGUGUUAAAGUUUAACACAUCAUCCAAACACCCCAAUAUGUUAAACUUUAGCACUCUAUUUGAGGGUGUUAAAACUUUAACACUUGUUAAAUUUUAACACAGGGUAUCCAAACAGGCCCUAUGUCUAGAUACGUAGCAAAAGUUAUAUAUCUAGAAAAGACAAAACGAAUAGUAAUUUGAAACGGAGGGAGUACUGCACAUAAUGAUUGAUUUGUAUCACCAUAUAUAUGACCAGAUUAGUUACAUACUUAUACUGGUCAGCCAUUAUUGUAAUUUAGAGACACGUGAAACCGUUUCCGGACCCACCCUCAAGCCAGCAGUCGUGUCAGCAACUGAGGUGUCAUUCAUAGAACCUGAGCCAAGAUAAAGAGAGCUUCCUUAGAAUAGAGAAAUCAUGAAGAAUAUUGAAGUUAUAUGGUAGUCUGAGAAUUUCUUGUACUGGAACUUAAGUUGAUUACAAAUUAAAGUAUCUUGAAUAAUUACUGUUCUGUAUAAUAAUUAUAUAUAUUAGCAGGCUAGUAAUUUAGGAGAUAUCAUUGUUAGAAAUUCGUGAAUAAAUUUUGGACCAGCGACAAAUCAAAAUUAUUUAUCUAAUGUAAUACAAUUUUACUACCAAUUACGUACUCAUUAUGAUUUCCGUCCCUCUUUAUUGUCGUUUUUCCUUUUGAAUCACAUGUCCAGAUAUGUUUGGUUAAAACGUUAGCUUGGACUGUAUGUUUGACAUGAAAAUAGACAUGUUCAUCGCUUUCUGCAUAUAUAUACGCGGUCUGCAUAUUAUCGCACAUCAUGCAUGUAUACCUCGUACUUAGAGCACCCGCAGUGUGCCAAAAAGUCGAUGCCCGGUUAGGAAAGAGAAGGAUGGGGCAUCCAAAUACACACUACAUGGGGCGAUGCUUCAACAGAAAAACCAGGUGAAUGUUGUUUCCUCGAUGCUUCAUUCGUUAAAAAUAAUUUCGUGAACGCAGUUACGCAGGUGAAGCAUGGGCCACCACUGUUCAGGGUCAUCUCGUACUGCUGAAGCAGCGUUUCUCGCUUUUAUUUAUUCACCGCAUGGGUUCCACACCAGUGCUCUCACGCUGCAGCCUUUGGAGAUCGAGGCCCAAUUCCCUGUCGUGCAGUCAAUUUGUUGUGGGCAUCGACGCCCACGCUGUGGGUGCUCUUAGGGGGCUGUUUGGAUUUUGCCCAGGCCGUCUUUCUAUCGGCGAGCCAAUUAUUUGGCAACAAGUAGCGUCAAACCAAACGUAUUGAGAUUUUUCAGUCAACUUCCGAAACAUUGGUAGGGUCAAUAUUGGCAUCAAACCAAACGUCCUCUUAGAAACGGCACUUGGGUAGAGAGAUAUAGCUAGGAUAGAGGGACAACAUAGAAGAGCGACCAUGCUAUGGAGGUAGGCUAAAUUUGUGGACUCGAUAUCAAGGAAAAAUAGAUAGCCUAUUUAUGUGUGCUUCUCGUUUCACUUUAUGCAAUGUUUUCUUACUCUGAAUUUACUAAAUUAUGUAAUCGUUUGGAUCUAGUUAUAAAUGGGACCGUGCUUACUCCCAAAAAUAUAUUUAAAAAAUAAGAGUGAAGCACAUCAUAUAUCUCAAACUUGUAACGUCAUGUCGUCUCGAUCCCCAAACUUGCAAAAUGCACAAUCAAAUCUCCAAACAUGAUAAUUGUACCAUAUGAUUAUCUAGCUUGAGUUAAACCGUCUGCACAGCAUGCUAACUGCGCAAUGAUAUAGACCUAAGACCUGACAUGUGGGGCUGGCCCCAUCUCUCUCAUUCAUUCUUUACUCCUGCUCAAAUCUCAUCUAUCACCUUCCCCACUAGGCCGGCUAACGGGGCAGGUGGAAAUGGGGAUUUCGGAGCGGAGUCUGAGAUGCGGCUUACUGGGAUGGGUCUGAAUGGGUCGUAGUUGCUUGCAGGGCGGGGCGGGUUUACUGCAAAGGUGGGUUGGGCGCGGGUUGGAUUAGUUUAUUUCAGAGGAAAGCCGCAUCUCUUUGCUCGCGCAGCAAGACGGCCUACCGCUGCCGCCGGCCCCAGCCACUACCGUUGCCACCUCUCCCGCGAAAAAAGGUCAUGCGCAUCCUUAGCUGCCCUCCACCAUCUCCUCCUCCACAUCAUCCUGUUCCCCUUCUCCUCAUCCCCCUUUCCCUUCUUGCUAGGGAUUGACUUGGCUAUUAGCUGCUCCAGCGCCGGCCUCGAGUCCUAUGACGGUGGCCUCGCUAGUCUGCGGGAGAAGGUUCUUGAUCUGUGCGGCUCGCCAAGGAGGUCCAGAUUAACGGUAGCCCGUGAGCAGCUCCGUAUUGCCUGGUCCAUCGGUGAGUGUUCCUAAUACACAGGGAUUCUUUAAAUUUAGAUUCACUGGCACCAAGUGUUUGUUUUGGAGUCAGGAUAAUUGGACAAAUCCACAGCUAAAUUUCUAAUUAAUCUGAGUCUGGAAGCAAUUCAAAGAAGAUAUGUUUCCUAUCAAAUUUCGCAAGUACCCUUAUCCUAUAAUGUGUUAAAGAGCAGAAGGGCCUCAUUCUCCGUAGACUGAGAAGCAUCAUGGGUGCUGUAGUUGCAUGAUCAUCAGUAUUAGGCUGUUAACAGGCCCACUUAUUUCGUUGACUGUGCAGCCAUAUUUCUCCAAUUCUUUCACUCAAGUUGGCAAGUAUAGCAUGCCACACUUGUUUAUACACACAAUGGAAUGCAAACUGGAACAUGAUUUUCUGCAGCAGUCACAUAUGUUUUGGUUAUGCGCUUGGGAGAUCUGACACGCCAUCCUUUAACUGUAGUCAAUUCCAGUGGCAACCUAGCUAAAUUUUGUAGUCACUGAAAAUUGAAGCCAAUGGAUUUUUUAUGAUUUUUCAUCUGCUUGCAAUUGGCUGUGUCUCUUGCUCUCAAUGAACCGGUGCUGGACAAAAAAUGAUUUCUCACCUGUUACUGGAUUGAUUAUUGCGGUUAGGUCAGAUUGUCGUUGUUCGUGUUUUAGAAUCCAUAUCUACUGCAGUAGUGCACUGACAUGGUGUCUCAGUUCCAUUUCUGAAUCUUUUUGUAUAUUUCAAUCAUCUCUGAAAAUUUCAGUCAGCAAUGUUACUAGGUCAGUAUAUAAUGUGCUGCAGUAUGUUAUUUCUCAAGCUUUUCCAGUAUGAUGUAGUUUGUUCUUUCUCAGAUUUAUGUCAGUUCUUAGUUCUUUUGAACAAUAUGCUAUGUGUACCUGAAAAUUGGAGUUUGCUGCAUCUGUGCAUCUAAAAAAUAAAGAGAAAUAUGAAUGUGUGAUUGAGUAGCAUGCCAUGAGGAAAGUAGAGAAUCUGUGAGCCCUGUGUGUGCUUGGCGUAGUGUAAACAAAUUUAGUUGCUUGUAGUUAACUACAAGUGUUCUUAUCUGGUUUUGCAGUCAACCCAAUACUUAGUUUUGGGUAUUUUUGCUUUUGCCUCUCUGAUUAACUUUUGGAGGUUGGUGUCCUUUAUCGAAUAUGAUUUCUCCUUGUUCUUGAGCAUCUGUACUGGUUAUAGUCUGAUGAACUAAUCUGUAUAGUCUGAUGAACUAAUCAUGUAGCUAGGAUCAGCUUCUGCAGCUAAAAAGGUACCUGUCAAAAAGCAUGCCCAGGCUUGAUAAUAAUUGUAUUCUUAUUUCGUUCUUAAUGCUAAAAAACUGCAGCUUCCCAGUUAACGCUGGCUUAGUCAUGGUUGUGAACUUGUGAUAACGAUUUCAUUCUUAAUGCUAUCAGGAGGGGAGAAUUCUCAGCUUUUCGCUCUACGGAGAAAACAACCAUUCUCAGCUUCGAGCUCCAGAAGUGACACAUCCUGGUUACCAAAGGUUCUUUUGUCAAGAUGGAUGGGUGUGCGUAUAAUUUUUUUUUUUUUUGAAACGAGCAGGCAGGAGAGCUACCACUUUAUUAAUAAAGGGGAAUGCCCGAAAGGUGAAACAGACUAGAAAACUUUACAUGCUGCACACUGCAAGCUUAGCUCGCGGACUGAAGAGAUAAAAGGAACAGACACCCCUAUAUACACUCAACUGCGCCUUGCGGCGUCAAGAAACCGCUCUAGGUGCAUAGCACCUGCCGCCACCCACGUGGUUGCCUCGUCCCUUAUUCGAGCCACUAAGCGGGGGAUGGAUUGUUCCUGAUGAUGGAAAACCCGCGCAUUACGCUCUUUCCAAACCUCCCACAGGACUAAGAUGAUGAGAGAUCUCAAGCCUUUUUUGUCAGCGACCUGCGCGCCUGCUAAUGCCGUCCACCAGUCAUGCAGAGUGUCAUGUGGAGUCCAGCAUUCCGGGUCAAUGGCCGGGCACCUCGUCCACGCGCUUAGUUGAGCCCAGACGUUCCUUGUGUAAUUGCAUGCGGUGAACAUGUGUAGCCCCGUUUCUUGAGUUGCUUCACAGAGAGCACAAUUUGGGUUGCUCGGCCAUCCCCGACGUUGCAACCGGUCCGCUGUCCAAAUUCUGUCCUGAAUCGUCAGCCAGCUGAAGAACUUACACUUUGGGGGCGCCCACGGCUUCCAGAUGAUGGCUUCGAAGUUGGUGUUUGUGGACCCGAAGAACUGCGCUCGGUAUGCUGAAUUCGUGUUAUAGUGACCGUCGGCCGUCAGUUUCCAUCGAAUGGUGUCCGGGACCCCUAGUCGAAGUUGCGGUGUGCGUAUAAUUUGGAUGAUAAAUUCUUGCCAUGAUCAUCUUGACUGGUUGUAUAAUUCGCAACUCUAAUUCGUACAGAAAGUUUAUGCUAUGAGGUAGGAACAUGUAUUUAUUAUGUUUAGCUACAAGCAAAGUGAGCAACGCUCAGUUGAGAUGCACAACUUGAAGGCAUUCUUCGGUUUAACCUACUGCUACGUGCUUUGGUUACACCCACGCUAAAUGGAGCGGGACGGAGUGGGUUUGUAAUUGACUCCCAUAAAUUUCGGGGCAAGGUAACAGCGCCCAUUAGCAGGCCUAUAAUCCCCACCACCUCACAUGCCGUGGUGUCGACGCGAACUAGGUCGCAUCCCCCUCCUCUCGCCUUUGCUUUUAAAUUCCCAUCGAGUUUUAGGGAGUAUAUAUGCUGAGCUGCUUUUUAUUUCAUGGAUCAAACCAUUUACAUCGAUGCAAUUUUUUACAUGUCAUAGAUAUCAUCCUUCACACAGUGAGGCAGGCACUGUGGCGACUUUAAAACUUGUACGGGACUUCAAUUCCACCAGUACGUGCUCCAACGUACUAAUCAACCCGUAGUUCAACAUAUUGCGGAUGGUCAACUCCAACAGGACCGUGGAGCGCAGAGCAGCUAUAUAGAAUGGGUUACUUGUGAACCAAUCGAAAUGUCUUGCAGUUGGCAGAUGUCGACUCCUCAACGAACGUUACUGAAACAGUCAGCGGUCAGACAAUCACGCUAGGGGCUAGGGCCUAGGGGGCUUACUGUAUACUAGUUAAUCCCCUACACGCUAUUCAGUAUUCAGCCGCUGUCCUAUCACCAUGGCUUGCGCUCGCGCCAUCACCCUCUUCGCGCUCACGCUCCUCCCAGCGGUGCCAUUGACCACGGCCGCCGCCGCCCCCGGCACUGAGUACCGCCGCCCGGCCCCCUCGCCCGGCCACAAGUGCGGGGCGCAGGGCACGUACGCUCCCGGCAGCGCCUACGAAGCCAACCUGCGGCUUCUUGCGGCCGCCAUCCCUGCCGAAGCAAAUGCGUCCGGCUGCAGGUGCUCUCCCGGCAACCACGCCGGCGAACGCCCCGACAACGUCGCCGCUUCGGCCUACUGCUACUGGCGUCCGGACGCCGGCUGGCCAUCGGACUGCGCCGCCUGCAUCGCGCGGGCCUUCGAGGAGGCGCAGCGGCUGUGCCCAUACCACAGGCAGGCCAUGGUCGUGGUUGACGGCGGCGAGUGCAGCGUCAGCUUCCACGACGUCCAGCAGAGGGAGCAGAGCAUGGGCCUUGGCAGCGCCGGGGGUAAGUGAUCUUUCUCCCUCGCAAUACAAGCCCCCAUUAGGUCCUUGCUGUUCAAAUGUGAAUGGGCAGAUAGCAGCAACUCCUGAUAAUUGGGAUGGUAGACAUCUUACAUAUUCCUAGUAUAGUGUAUGUGUUGUGAGGUUGAUGCAAUAAUGGAAUAAUAAUAUAGUUUAAUUUGCUCAUACCAUCCAGUGAGGUAGAACUUGAACAAAUCCAUCACGGUAGAACAAAAAAGUGGAUGAUGCAUGUUAUUACUUGUUUAUCCUGUGGUGGACGAGAGAUGGACACUUACAAAUGAUAUAUGUUUUCAGAAUCUGUAGCCGCAGAUGGGGAUCAUGCAUCAUAUCUUGACUUGCUCCAAUACAUGAAUAAGGAACUGGCACGCUAUAUGUCGGAGGACGAACUGAUGGAGUUCAAGAACUUUACAGAGCGUGCUACUCAAGCUUCGAAGUCACCAGAAUGUCUCACUAUGCAAAGGAUCUAUCUAUGACAAUUAUGGUUUCAGUUGCUGCUCUCAAUUUGCAAUCAUGUAAACGGUUUGGUCCAUGUAAUAAGAUGCGACUAUGCAAAUUCACAAAAUCCGUCGAUGUAAUAUGUAUUUUUUGGUAUGUAAAAGUUCACAAUUUGACUCUUGAUUUGUUCGAGUCCUCAACUAAGUAUUUUAGGGAAAAUUAGUUAUGUAACACUGAAAGAUCACCACUUUCGAAAAAUACCAUUGAAAGAGCACGCCCCUGUAAAAUACCACCGAAAGUUACAAACGAGUUAACCGGAACUACCUUAGAUUUUUGAAAUACCCCCAAACCGUGCAUCUUCCACCUCUGGUCGGCAGCGGCGCUUAUGCUUGACGUCGGGCUGAAGGGGGGACUGCGGACGCCGGCCUGGGCACUCCGGGCUGGAGGGCGCCGGAUACUAGCGGCCUAGCGGGUAGCCGCAGCCAGCAGGUCAGCACCAUCGAUCGCAUAGCAAUUGUUUGCUGCAAGCUUGCAGCUACAAAGCUGAUGCAUCCACAUCCCCUCGCAUGCAAAUUGAUUGAAGUCAGGAGCUCCCGUCUCUUUUCUCCUCCCCUUGUUCUGAGCUUCUGAUGCUUCACUGCGCGAUGGCAGCCACACAGUGGCACAGUGCCUUGCAAUCAUCAAAGAUGAUGCAAUUUUGGGAGGAUUGGGUAAGGGUUAGUUAAUUGUAGAAAAUCGAGCAGGUCUUUAGCGAUCCGGAAUUCCCGAUAGGCGAUCGAUAAUGGAAUACUGUGGACACGCAUUCAAGCCUGGGGACGCGACCUGGAGGGGCACCGGCCUGGGGAGGAUCGCAAAGGGGGGCCGCCGGCCGCCUCGCCGUUGGAGGCCGGGAAGGGAGGAGCCGUCGCGUGGUUGCCUGGUUGGGCGGACGGGCGCCGUCAAGAGGAGCGUGGAUAAGGGAAGGCCGGGCCGGGGCUCCCUGCGAUUUUUGUUGGCCUUGAGCUCAGGGGUAUAAGCGUCAAUUCAUAUCAUGUUACCUGGCUAAACGAAAAGGAAAAUAGGUUUUCGGUGAAUAAAAGUAGUUUUAGGCCCCGUUUGGUAGGGCUUCUCAAAGUGCUUCUCCACCGGCUUUUGAUGAAGCCCUACCAAAGGGUCAAUUUCAAAACGGCUUCACCACCAAAGCCGAGGAGAAGCCGCAAAACGGCUUACACUAGAGAGGAGAAGCCGAAAAAAGUAGCUUCACCGGCUUCUCCUCUCUCUCCAAGCAUUAAGUGAUCAUAAAAUUACAUAUAUUGCCAUUGAGAAGCCGUUUUACCAAACGUUUUGCAAAACGGCUUUAGCUUCACUAAAAAAGCCACUCCACCGAAGAAGCCGAAGCCGAAGCCGUUUUAUGAGAAGCCGAAGCUCUACCAAACGGGGCCUUAGUUAACGUUUGUAAGUUUCGGUGGUAUUUUACAAGGACGAAUUUUUUCAGUGGUAUUUUUCAGAAGUCCUGAUGAAACCAGUUUUCCUUUUAUUUUAGAAAUUAACGGGCGUUAUUUGUUUAGUGAUAGUGAUAGGUGACGUGUGUUGACAAUUAUACACAACACAAUGACACGUGUUUAUCAAAUGAUCUCUUGAAAAUGCUCCUGGAGAAGGAAGUAAGGGAAGGAAGUGUGUGUUAAUUUGGUGCGGUUGGCCAAUGUUGACUCGUCAUCAAACACUUUAGUAGUCAACGGUCAACAACCACUCCCUGAUCUCAUCUAGUCCACCGUACUUUGUUUAAUCGCCCGGAUUAGAGCACAAUUCAUCCCUUCAUCAAACAAAAGCGUUCGUCUUCCUCCGGCCAUGCGUCUAGCCGCGGCGCUCGUCGCGCUCGCGGCGGUCCUCCCGGCGCUGGCCGCCGCCACCGUCGUUGACCGCCGCCUGGUCCUCACGCCCGGUCACAUGUGCGGCACGCAGGGCAGGUACGCUCCCGGCAGCGCCUACGAGGCCACAACCUCCGGCGCCUCGCCGCCACCGUUGCCGCCGAGGUAAACGCGAACUCCUGCAACUGCUCCAUUGGCAGCGUCGCCGGCCGCCGCCACGACCAGGUCACAGCGUCGGCCUACUGCUACUGGCGGCCAGGCGCGAGGUCCAAGGACUGCGGCGCCUGCGUCGCGCUGGCCUUCCGGGAGGCGCAGCGGUUGUGCCCGUACCACAGGCAGGCCGUGGUCGUGGUCGACGGCGGCGCGUGCAGCGUCAGCUUCCUCGACGUGCAGCGAAGGGAGCAAGGUCCGCCACGGCGACGCCACUUGCAUCAUCCACUCCGGGUGUAAGCGACGUUUCUAUAAAUCCCAUUCGAUCCAGAUCCGAUGAGCAGAACGAUUAGUGAAAUUUGCCACCAAAUAACUCAAAUGAAUGCAGAUACAUAGUGUUACUGUGUACAGUGUACUGCGUUCAAAAUUUUAAAUUUGCUGCAUCGACACCAGAAAUUUCGAAUUAAAUGUUGACAUCCAUGUCCACAAUGAUUUUGCUGAAAGGGAACUCGAAUUCGGGUCAGAUUCCGGCAAUUAUGUGCGUUGGCAAGUAACACUACUUUGUGCAGAGUGCAGACAUCCCUGAAUCUUAUUACUGUUCAUCUUACUGCCUCAGUGAUCCCAAACAAUUAAUGUCGCCUUCAGAUGCGUGGUUUUGUUGUUGGAUCAGCUACGGUUGGAGCCUUCUGAACCCAGAUGUCCUCCUGAUAUUGCUGUUUCAAGCAGCUGGGCUCGGUUGUGUUGUGUUCAAGUUCCUCCAGGAAUCGCGCACCAGAAGUAGAGACCCUGCAAUCGACAGGUAUCGCGCCUGCUGAUAUCAUUUUGGUUUAGUCCUUCCUAGGUUGCUGCAGUAUAAUUACCUUGAUAAAAAUUGUUGGCUAACAUGUAUUUGCAGCAACGAUUACCUUCCUGUCAUUGGAGAUCAGUAGCUGGUGAAAUUUGGUGAUGACCGACGCUCGGUCAACAUGCUCCAAUUUCUCGCUUGCCAUAGCCAAUGGGUUACUUAGUUGCUCUUUGAUUCAAACAGUGGUGAUUGAUCGUCCCGGUGGACAAACCAAUACCUGAAGAUACAUCUAUGUAUGAUAUUGCCAAGACCAUGUACAUCCAAAAAAAUAUAAGGUUCAGAGAGAAGCAUGUGCCAAAGGAAGAACAUUUUAUUUCGAUUACCCUACCAAUCAAACCUUACAAGUUAGAUUAAUGAAGUAUUGACCGUAAUUAUUUUAAGAAACUGGCCUGGAUAUUUAUAUUGAUACCCUAAGUUGUUGCGGUACAUGAUUUGUGAAAAAAAAAAUAUGUAGUCUAAGAAUCAUGUACAAUUAUUGAGCAUGUUGUUGAGGAAAAAAUACUAUACGGCUACGUAUAACCUUAUA